CCUUUUAUUGCCUUUAAGGCUUGCUCGUGGUAUAAUAUUUGUAUGAGAUCAACACGUGUCGACUAAUUUCUUAGGUGAUUUUAUUGGUUUUCAUCACGUAAAGCUUCGCUACAAAUAAUUUAAAAGUUUAUAUACCUGUUGAAGAACUACGAAACUCAAGCACUCUCAAUGCCGGUUAAUUUUUGCAUGAGUUCAGACCACUCUACUUCUUCUACAAAAAAAACUAUUAUUCUUGCUUGUGAAAAAACACCUGUAGCAGUUGUUCUCAAAAAAAAAAACUCAUGCUCCCUAGGAAUUUCUCUGCCCUCACCUGAGUGCCAAUUAAUUGGGCACAAGAGUUGAAGUUGACUAAUUAAUAUUUAAUGUCUUCCCAUAUUCUGCUCUCCGAGAAAAGGUGCUACGACGUAUAGGUAUUAUAUAUUGCUAUGGGAGAGAAAAUUCUUCAGAUGUGGUGUGCAAAAUAAUAUUUCAUCAUUUGAAGAGAGUGUAAUGUGUGUUUGGUCGUUAGUGCCCCUCACUCCACCCACAACAAUUAAUCACCUAGAGAUUGAAAUUGUUUUUACUGAUGAACAACACCUUAAGAAAAAAGCGAAACAUGAAGCAUACCACUUUCUCCCUACGGAGCUAUUUUCAACAUAUCGACAUCUUCGGAAGAUAUUCCAAAUGAGCUGAAAUUCCUACGCCAUCAAAAUCAAUUACCACCAAUUUUGGGCAAUUUCAGCCAAUUUUGGCACAUGAAGAUCCACCAGAGAUUUCACUGCACACCACGAAAGUGAUUGAGAUGAGGCACAUAUUUUUCAACAAAGGCAUCUACUCAUAGAUUGUAUUUGCAUUGCAUGGUACAUGCGGCUGCCAUGAAAACAACGUAUAUUGCCAUAUAUAUUCAAAUGACGAGAAAAGAGGUCUCAGCGACAUUCGCUUGAAUAAUCAUGAAAGAAAUUGGUAAAGGUAUAAAAAACACACUGAAAAGAAGAAGCAUGUCUAUUGAGUAGGUAGAAUUUGAUGAACUGAAAUUGCCCCCUUCGUUACAAUCAAAACUACCAAAUUAAGUGUGAUGAAUAAUUUUAAAUUAAAAUUUUUGGGGUUAAACCUCUGCAAUUGCCAAUGCUACUGGAAAAACCGCCAAAUGCUCCAUUUUGGGGAAGACGUUGAUUGAUAUAUACAAUAGAAAAGUGCCCGAGACUUCAAUAAAAUUUUACCGCACAACUUUUCUGGAUUUAUAGAACAAUUCUCGAUUGAGAGAUCACGAUCUUUUGUACAUUAAUUAAAGGGAUCUGGGUUAGAUGAAGAAGCAAUUGCGCGCCUUGCUCAACAUUCAAUAUCACAUGUUGUUGAGGUGUGCUGCUGAUGAAUGAGACGAUGAAGAUCUCUUUUUGAGAACACAUCAUCGUCUGUCUUAUUAAUUGCAAAACAUCGUGUUCAUACGCGGAAACUAUUACGUUUUAGCGAGCAUUUUAGUAAAAUUAAAAGUAAACUGAUAGACAAGGAAAGCUACCUUUAUUAGAUAUUACAUAGAUGCUACAAAAAGAGCACUUUUUACGCUUGAAGCGCGUGAAAAUUAAUUGAAGAAUAUAUAGGAUACUUUUUAAUUAUAGAUAAACUGAACAUAUAGAGAAGAUUAUCAAAAUAAAAUUUAAAAAUAUAUUUUAAUUGCAAUUUCUCCGUAAACACCCAAUUUAAUUCUUACUGAAAAUAUAAUAAACAUAUGUAUACAAAAUAUGGAUUGAGGAUAAUAAUGCAAAAAUUACUGUACUCAUACACUUCUAACGCAAUAUUUUCUCAUUGUGAGACAUUUGAAAUUUUCUAAAAUUGUAUUAAAAUUAGCUCUUCAUCUUGCACUUUAUAUUGAUGUAUAUUGACAGGUAAUAAAAAUAAAAUUUAUUACUUUUU